rnacentral:lncRNA from 1 species
GAGACUGAGUCUCGCUCUGUUGCCCAGGCUGGAGUGCAGUGGUGAUCUCGGCUCACUGCAAGCUCCGCCUCCCGGGUUCACGCCAUUCUCCUGCCUCAGCUGGGACCAUGCCUGGCUAAUUUUUUUUGUAUUUUUAUAGAGUCAGGGUUUCACCGUGUUGCCCAGGCUGGUGUCGAACUCCUGACCUCAGGUGAUCUGCCCACCUCAGCCUCCCGAAGUGCUGGGAUUACAGGUGUGAGCCACCGCACCCGGCUCUAUUUAGCUUUUUAAAAAUUAUUUCCUUUCAAGGGCCCUUUAAUAUCUAUCAAGCUCCCUCCCCUAACAAAAUGGGCUGUCCCUGCCCAACAAGUCUGAAAUAGACCUUAAAACUGUGCUGCCUUAGUGGUAAGUAAGGGGUGGGGGUUGGACAGUGAAUCUUAAGAUUUCAUCCUUCAUUCAGUAAGCAUUUGAGUACCUACUGUGAGCAGGCAUUGGGGCGGAGCAGCGAGAGCCCUGCCGAUGUUGGGUUCUCCUCCUAUUGGGGAAACUUGAUCACAGAUGGAACACGUGCAGAUUGAUUGAUGAGUGCUGUGGAGAAAGCAGCAGCGUAGCGGGACCGUUUGGGAAAGGCUACUUUGGCUGGGGGUGGCUGGGAAAGGCCCCUCUGGGAAAGAGACAGUUUUACUGAGUCAGAUGGUGGAAAGACAGAUGUCUCUAUACUUUCUUAACAAGCCACUCUGUCCCAUAACAUGCACUUGGAAUCUCUCCUAAGUUCCAGAGGCCCCACUGUUCCAGUUUCAAGCCUUCAUUUUGGAGUCUGUUUGGGAACUUUUAAGACUUCAAAGCAAAGUUAGCUACCAGCAAUUUCUGUAAACCAAGAGAAGAUUGUCACAAAGAUUCACUACUUUCCAACUGAAUCUAUGCAGUAGAAAAAUCAUUAGAAAAUACAAAAAUUAGCCGGGCGUGGUGGCACAUGCCUGUAGUCCCAGCUACUCGGGAGGCUGAGGCAGGAGAAUCACUUGAACCCAGGAGGCGGAGGUUGCAGUGAGCCAAGAUCCCGCCACUGCACUCCAGCCCAGGUGACAGAGCAGGACUCUGUCUCAAAAAAAGAAAAAAGAAAGAAAGAAAAAUGAUUAGAAAUUGAGAACUAUUUUACGUGUUUCUAAGUUGUUGGCUACAUCAAAGAGAUCAUCUGUAUUCUGCAUAUGGGCUGGCUUUGGUGAAGCUGAUGACUGGACUUCUAAGAACCGUUUUCCCAAAUGGGUUCCCAUAUUCAUGCACCCAAAGCAAUGGUCCCCAAGCACUGAUGAAAACUAAUAUGCAUUUCCCAAAGACCCACACUAUGUAUCAGGAGCCUGCACCAUGCCAUUUGAAUGACCCUCAGCAAUGUGCCUCCCUGCCCUCAAAUUCCCAGUUGAUAACAGUGUUUGAUUAAAUUUCCACUCAAGCCAAACAUGGUUACUAAGAAGAGAAAAACCUGAUGUUUGCAUAAUAUUUUUUUUCCCCUCGAGAUGGAGUCUUGCUCUGUUGCCCAGGCUGGAGUGCAGUGGCAUGAUCUCAGCCACUGCAACCUCUGCCUCCCGGGUUCAAGCGAUUCUUCUGCCUCAGCCUCCCAAGUAGUUGGGAUUACAGACAUGUGCCACCACGCCUGGCUAAUUUUUGUAUUUUUAGUAGAGACAGGGUUUCACCAUGUUGACCACACUGGUCUUGAACUUCUAACCAUGUGAUCUGCCUGCCUCGGCCUCCCAAAGUGCUGGGAUUACAGGCUUGAGCCACCACGCCCAGCCUAAGAUUUUAUGAUUAAAAAAAA